UAUGUUAAUAGCAUAUUCAUUUGACGUUAGCUGCAGAAGAAGCACCGGCUAAUCCGUGCCAGCAGCCGCGGUAAUACGGAGGGUGCGAGCGUUAAUCGGAAUUACUGGGCGUAAAGCGCAUGCAGGUGGUUUGUUAAGUCAGAUGUGAAAGCCCGGGGCUCAACCUCGGAAUUGCAUUUGAAACUGGCAAACUAGAGUACUGUAGAGGGGGUAGAAUUUCAGGUGUAGCGGUGAAAUGCGUAGAGAUCUGAAGGAAUACCGGUGGCGAAGGCGGCCCCCUGGACAGAUACUGACACUCAGAUGCGAAAGCGUGGGGAGCAAACCAGGAUUAGAUACCCUGGUAG
rnacentral:rRNA from 1 species